rnacentral:misc_RNA from 1 species
CCAAUAGCGUAUAUUAAAGUUGUUGCAGUUAAAAAGCUCGUAGUUGAAUUUCGGGGUCAGUAAGUUGGUCGUGCCACUGGUAUGUACUGGCUUUACUGAUUCCUCCUUCUUGUAGAACCGUAAUGCCAUUAAGUUGGUGUUGCGGGGAAACAGGACUGUUACUUUGAAAAAAUUAGAGUGUUUAAAGCAAGCUAACGCUUGAAUACAUUAGCAUGGAAUAAUGAAAUAGGACGAACGAUCCUAUUUUGUUGGUUUCUAGGAUUGACGUAAUGAUUAAUAGGGAUAGUUGGGGGCAUUAGUAUUCAAUUGUCAGAGGUGAAAUUCUUGGAUUUAUUGAAGACUAACUACUGCGAAAGCAUUUGCCAAGGAUGUUUUCAUUAAUCAAGAACGAAAGUUAGAGGUUCGAAGGCGAUCAGAUACCGCCCUAGUUCUAACCGUAAACGAUGCCAACUAGCGAUCUGUGGGGGUUAAAUUAAUGACUCCACAGGAAGCUUCCA